GCCAUGUGGUACCAGACUGCUGCCCAGACCACAGUGUCCUCUGCAACCCUGCUUCUCAGAUGACCAAGAUGGUGCUGCAGAUGGUGCUGAGGAUGGAGAAGCCACUAAGCCCCGCUAGGAGCCACCUAGACUGGAUGCAGAGCACGGUAAGCUCCCGGCGGUUUCUCCAAGAAGGGGUGGAUGGCAGCCUGCUCCUUGCCUUUGUGGCCUCCAGACCCCAAAGUCAGGGAACCAAAGGGAGAAAGGGGCCGUAGCUAGGGCCGAGCUCCACUGCAAUGAUUGUUUUAGGGGUAGGAGCCAGGAUUGCUGUCUGUGGACACUGAAAUUUGAAUCUCAUAUACUUUUCAUGUGUCACAAAACAUUAUUCUUCUUUUGUUCUUCUCCUACCAUCUAAAAAUGUAGAAAACAUUCUUAGCCUAUGAGUUGCACAAAAACAGGCAGUGGCCAGAUUUGGUCCAUAGACCAUAGUUUGCUGACUUUUGCCCUAAAUCAUCCUCCAUUUCUUUCCUUCUGUGUCCUUGUUACUGACAAAGCCACUUCCCCUAAAAUGGGGUCUUUCCCUGUUUGGUGCCAUGAAGCCAAUAUGCAAAACCGAAAGUGAGCCUCAAGCAGUGCAGGCUUUAUUUGGUGGCCAUGGAAUUGAGAAGUGAGAGCUUGGCUCACAAAUCAACUUUUCUGCUCAUGAGACCCAGGAAGUCACAGAUAUAGGGCAUCUUUAGUGAAGGGGCUGAGCAUUAAAAGCAAAGGGAGGAGUGGCCAGGUGCAAUGGCUCACUCCCAUAAACCCAGAACUUCAGGAGGCCAAAAUGAGAGGAUUGCUAAGACCAGGAGUUCGAGACCAUCGUCGUCAACAUAGUGAUACCCCCCCAUCUCUACAAAAAUAAAAAUGAAAAAAGCAA